rnacentral:snRNA from 1 species
GAACGUACCUGUCUCUGUAUUGUGAUGUAAAGAAAAAAAAAAAUAUAAAAAUAAAUAAAUAAAUAAAAAAAGGUUCACGCAGGGUGAGGCUCAGCCAUUGCACUCCGGUUGUGCUGAUCUCUGCGAAUUCCCCAAAUAUGGGCAUCUCGACUGCAUAAUUUAUGGUAGUGGGGGACUGCGUUCGCGC